UUGAGUCUUGCUGGAGGAUGGAGCUAGGGGCUGAGAAAGCUAGGGCAGAGCUCUAGAUCCCCGAAUUUUAGUGUGGGGGAGAGCUUGCUGUUGGGGAUCCAGACAUUAUAAAGGAGUUCUGGCCCACUUGUGAGAUUGGAGAGAAAGAUCUGAGGCUGUGACUCCAACGUCCUGGGGAAGAGGGAGCUUAAGAGACCCGCUUGAAGAUCCUGAGAGAAAGAAUGUGAGCCUGGGGGUGGGAGGGUCCUGGGCUCAGAGAAGGGGGACCUCCCUGCGCCUGAGGUCCGUGUCUGGGAACCUCUGCGCCUCACCUUCCAGAAUGCAAGGGGCGGGGUCACUCGGACUCGGUGGAAGAGGCCCCCGGACUUCCCUUCGGUGUGUCGGGUACAAGAUUUUGCAGCCUUUUAACGAGGAAGCCCCGCCCACGGCCCCGCCUUCUGCCCGCACCUUGCUGCGGUGCGGCUGGACCCGCAAGCGCUCGAGGAGGGGCACGGACUGGAGUGACUUUAGGAGGAGGGGCUGGAGCCUCGGAAACCGAGGGCGGCGGGACCAGCCCUGGCUGAAGUCCCAAGGUGCUGCAAUAAGCUUGUUGUUAAGGUUGCAGAGGCUCGGCCGGAGCAGGUU
rnacentral:lncRNA from 1 species